AACGAACGCUGGCGGCAGGCUUAACACAUGCAAGUCGAGCGCCCCGCAAGGGGAGCGGCAGACGGGUGAGUAACGCGUGGGAAUCUACCCAUCUCUACGGAAUAACGCAUGGAAACGUGUGCUAAUACCGUAUACGUCCUUCGGGAGAAAGAGUUAUCGGAGAUGGAUGAGCCCGCGUUGAAUUAGCUAGUUGGUGGGGUAAAGGCCUACCAAGGCGACGAUCCAUAGCUGGGCUGAGAGGAUGAUCAGCCACACUGGGACUGAGACACGGCCCAGACUCCUACGGGAGGCAGCAGUGGGGAAUAUUGGACAAUGGGCGCAAGCCUGAUCCAGCCAUGCCGCGUGAGUGAUGAAGGCCCUAGGGUUGUAAAGCUCUUUCACCGGUGAAGAUAAUGACGGUAACCGGAGAAGAAGCCCCGGCUAACUUCGUGCCAGCCGCCGCAGUAACAC
rnacentral:rRNA from 1 species